rnacentral:rRNA from 1 species
AUGACCUUUGAGGCUCCUCGGGGCCCCUACACUAUGGAGGUUGAGAAAGGACGAAAUAUGACGCAGGUGGGAGGAGAUGGAUGGGUCCGUUUCAUCGCCCACAUGCGUAUCACCGGUGGUGAGUUGAUCAACUUCUGCUUCAGAGCAGAAAGACCCAAGCUAGCCGUGAUUUAUGUCAACAAAGUAGAAGAUGAUGAGGAUGAUGAGGAUGACGAUGACCCACUUGGUGAAGCCAUCGUAGCUCAAAUAAUGAGGUUGAGCGAGGAGGAGGUGUGCAACCUAUGGGACAUCAUUCCGCCACGUGCUGACUUUGUCGGGGUGCCAUUCGUUACCCGCCUGACAAGUACCAUGGUUGAUCGGCAUAUCAUGGUAUGUUGCAUUUACUGUAGUAAUUUGAUGAUAUGCUUUAUUGUUAUACUUAGUGUAGAGUCCGAUGAUAUAUAUGCUUAG